rnacentral:rRNA from 1 species
GACGAACGCUGGCGGCGUGCCUAAUACAUGCAAGUCGAACGCAGUGGGGACGUUUGAGUAACACGUGGGUAACCUCCCAUCAGAGGGGAUAACACUUGGAAACAGGUGCUAAACCGAUACUGAUGGAUGGACCCUCGGUUCAUUAGCUAGUUGGUGAGGUAACGGCUCACCAAGGCCACGAUGCAUAGCUGGCCUGAGAGGGUGAUCGGCCACACUGGGACUGAGACACGGCCCAGACUCCUACGGGAGGCAGCAGUGGGGAAUAUUCGGCAAUGGGCGCAAGUCUGACCGAGCCAUGCCGCGUGAAUGAAGAAGGUUUUCGGAUCGUAAAGCUCUGUUGUUAGGGAAGCGGUAUCUAACGAGGAAGCCACGGCUAACUACGUGCCAGCAGCCGCGGUAAUUC